UUGUGAAGCCAAUUUGAUUGGAGUUCUUCCUGCUUUCCUGUGGCGUCUGACGUGCAUGUGAAGUAGAGGGUCUGCAUAUCCAGACCUUUGUGAAGGUAUAUAUCAGAUAAUUUUAAGAUUUGAUCCUUGAUUCUGCUGUGAUUCAGAUAAAAAUUUAAUCUUUAAAUAAGUAGAAUAUUAGAAAAAUUUUUAGAUGCAACUUGGGCAUUCUAGAGGAAAACUGUUCCCUUCCCUUCAAAAUUCACACUUCAGAUGAUCUUAGAUUCGUAAAAGAUGGAGGCGCACACGUGUCCGACCUCUACGGAUAUCCAUCGAAAUCAAUCUCAAACUUUUCUUCUCAUAAAAUAUUUUUUUUCUCAAGAAAAAUCUUGAUCUUGAGGACUCUGAUCAACUCUUUUGAUCUUAACUGAGAGAUCAACUCCUUGAUCUGCAGCCUUCUUCUUCUUCUCCUCGAUCCUUGAUCUCUAAGUUACCAGAACUCCUUCUAGGCG
rnacentral:lncRNA from 1 species